rnacentral:rRNA from 1 species
ACUUCAGCUAAAACGGAUACGCCCUGAGGGGGAAAGUUUACGCCGAAAGAUCGGCCCGCGUCAGAUUAGGUAGUUGGUGGGGUAAAGGCCUACCAAGCCGAUGAUCUGUAGGUGGUCUGAGAGGAUGAUCACCCACACUGGGACUGAGACACGGCCCAGACUCCUACGGGAGGCAGCAGUGGGGAAUAUUGGACAAUGGGCGCAAGCCUGAUCCAGCCAUGCCGCGUGGAUGAAGAAGGCCCUAGGGUUGUAAAGUCCUUUCGACGGAGACGAUAAUGACGGUAUCCGUAGAAGAAGCCCCGGCUAAUUUCGUGGCCAGCAGCCGCGGUAAUACGAAAGGGGCUAGCGUUGUUCGGAAUUACUGGGCGUAAAGCGCACGUAGGCGGUCGUGUAAGAUGGGGGUGAAAUGCCCGGGGCUGCAACUCCGGAACUGCCUUCAUGACUGCAUGGCUAGAGGAUGCGAGAGGUUGGCGGAAUUCCGAGUGUAGAGGUGAAAUUCGUAGAUAUUCGGAAGAACACCAGUGGCGAAGGCGGCCAACUGGGCGCAUUUCUGACGCUGAGGUGGCGAAAGCGUGGGGGAGCAAACAGGAUUAGAUACCCUGGUAGUGCCACGCCGUGAAAUGAUGGAGGGCUGAGUUGUCGUGCGGCUUGCCGAUGCGGUGGACGCAGCUAACGCAGUGAAGCCCGCCGCCGGGGGAGGACGUGCGCAAGAGGAAAACGCAAAGGAAGGGACGGGGGCCCGCACAA